GACGAACGCUGGCGGCGUGCCUAAUACAUGCAAGUUGAGCGAUGAAGAUUGGUGCUUGCACCAAUUUGAAGAGCAGCGAACGGGUGAGUAACGCGUGGGGAAUCUGCCUUUGAGCGGGGGACAACAUUUGGAAACGAAUGCUAAUACCGCAUAACAACUUUAAACAUAAGUUUUAAGUUUGAAAGAUGCAAUUGCAUCACUCAAAGAUGAUCCCGCGUUGUAUUAGCUAGUUGGUGAGGUAAAGGCUCACCAAGGCGAUGAUACAUAGCCGACCUGAGAGGGUGAUCGGCCACAUUGGGACUGAGACACGGCCCAAACUCCUACGGGAGGCAGCAGUAGGGAAUCUUCGGCAAUAGACGAAAGUCUGGCCGAGCAACGCCGCGUGAGUGAAGAAGGUUUUCGGAUCGUAAAACUCUGUUGGUAGAGAAGAACGUUGGUGAGAGUGGAAAGCUCAUCAAGUGACGGUAACUACCCAGAAAGGGACGGCUAACUACGUG
rnacentral:rRNA from 1 species